UCACAAAAUAAUCCUGGUGGCCUACAUGUAAGGGCAUUUGUUUGACAGCAGUCGUGGACAGACCGAAAAAAUCUAUAGCUGCGAAAUGAUUCCGCCAAAUCAAAAAAAAGUUUUGUCACCCGCGGCUUCUUUACCCGCGCGAGCCUUCCGCUCCUCGACCCGUUCCUCACGGAUUGCAUUCCUUUCUCUCCUGCGUCGCCUCGCCUCGCCUCCCUUGCAAUCCACCGCUUCCAUUCUCCUCCGCAUCCGUGACGCCAUAUGCGCUGCGAGGACGAGGGGAGGAGGGGUAGGAUGACGCUACAGCCCGCCGCCCUCCCCGUCAUGCCACCGCCGCCGCCUUCCCUUUGCGAUGCCGCAGCGCGCGAGCCGAUCCGCACCGCCGCCAUCACGUCGUCCGGCCAUCUCCACCUCCUCUCGACAUUCUCCUCUUUGCGCCGCCGCCGCCGCCGCUCUCCCCUCGCACCACCGCAUUGCCCACCCUUCCUGCCAUCCCUCCCAACCGUCGCGGACCAAGAUCCGGCGGGACGGGCACACGGCCAGCGGCUCGCGGUGGCCUGCGGGGCCAGCAGCUGCGGCAGGAGGGCGAGGCCCGCGUGGAUCUCGGCGCCCUGCGACCUCAAGCUGUGGCCGCGGUCUCCUGUCCCCGCUUGAGCAUGCUGUGAAGGCCUUCAAUUCAACGCGGCCGGGCACGUGGAUCUCCCGCAAUUGACAACAAGCAAGCAACGACGGUCAGCGUCAGCGACCGCUACACCCGGCGGCGGACAUAUGCUGGGCGUUCGGUUCAUCUCUGCCAAUAGCAUGAGAUUCCAAUCAUCAUCAUCACAUGGUACGUGAUAGGAUUCCUAAUUUAUCUAGAACUUCAGCACUUGAUUAGUUUAAUUAUUCAGUCAGUUCAUGUCUUUCGAGAGCCCAAUGUGCCAGACAUUGUAGUAAAUGACUAAUGCAUGAACAAUUAGGUGGUGGUGACUGCCAAUACGUCAGUAAUGACCAGGACAUUUGGAUGCCUCUUGUUUAUCACUCUGUUCGGCUUUCUCUCACACCAAACCAGCACCAGCCACCAGCCACAGCCAGCCAUUAGUACUUUUCUCUCACAACAAAUCAGCACCAGCCACCAUCCACAGCCAGCCGAACAGAGUGAUAUGUGUUUCCUAUCAAUCACUGUUCUGCCCCAUUUAUUAAAAUAUUCUCAUGGAAAAAACAAAGCUGCUUCUAAAUUACAUGGAGACUUGGCAUGGAUUGAAUAAUAAGCAUUGAACAAUAUUCAGAAGAUAUAUUGGUCCUAAUCAUUUAGAAAAUGCUACUGUAUACACUUCUUAAACUGAACUUUCUUAAGCUGUAUUUCUGUAAUAUGGCUUUAUGCACAGUUUGGCAUGAUAAAAUGAGUCCAGGUAUCUUGAGAUAUAAAAUCAUGGCACAAUUUUUUAAAACAUAUUUACAUGUUUGUAAACCCUUGGUAAAUACAAUUGCUUCUGUCUCAAAUUUUCACUUCAAAAUUGCAGAAGUCGCCAACCUUUUUUGCAACACGUAGCCAGCUAAUUUUUAUACCGGGUUGUUUGAUUUGAAUAUUGUAAGUUUACUCAAAAUCUUGACAUCUUUAUUACGGAUGAAUAAUAUAAUAUAAUAUGUGGAUAAAAGUAAUUACGGUAUGGACUAUGAUUUAUGCUAAAUUGUUGGUUAAUUAAUCUAAAUAUCUUGUCUCCUAGGUUCUUUAUAUAAUUGUCACAUAUCAAUCAUUGCUAUAAGUAUAGUGUUAUUAUUUCAUAUACCUGUCUAGAUAGACUGCAUCACUGAAAACAAUCAUUUGCAUAAAAUGAGAUGUAGGUUUCAGACAAUACCAUUGCAUUCAGGUCUUUGAAAACUGCCAGCUCUUAUCUGAAUUUAUGUCCUUGCUGUAAGCUAACUCAGCAUCAGCCAUUCUCAGGAAUAUUAUCACAAAUGUAACUAGGUGAAAAAUACUAUUCACUACCUGAAAUUUCAGUUUGCUGUGCUGAAAGAAAUGAUCAACGACCAUGAAUGGUGAGGUUCGAGUAUUCAGAUCCGGGCGCAAUUAGAUACUCCAAGAGUUUAUUUUCAAAAUCAAAGGUGAUGGUCAUGGAAACUUGCUGGUUGUUUGUUACAAUUUGUCAUGUGCUAUUCACUUAGCUUCCAGUUGGUCUUAUAACUCACUGUCAAAAAGUCUCAACUUCUGAAAUUCUUAUUUCUUUCCUCUACUUUGGAUAGAAUGUGUAAGGGUGCAAUGUAACUGAACAAAAUAUAGCAUUUUUGUUAGUAAAUAUGUAACUUUAUUUAUUUAUUAUGGAUCCUACAGUUGCUGCAAUCUAAGGUGGUAAAGAUAGCUUGGCAAACAAAAGGAUGCUUAUUGCAGGUGGUCCUUUCAUGCUUCUCAUUGCACGCAUAGACGAAGUGAAAAUUCCUAAUGCUGAUUUUGAGCACUAUGCAAUAUUUCAGGUAUCUCACAAAAUAUUUAAUUGUUGCUGCAGAUAUGUUUUCCGUUAUUACAUAUUCUUGAUGUAAUAUUGAGAAAGAUACACACUGGCUUUGAAACCUUGGUUUUACAAUAAGACAAAAAAAAAACAUUUGGACAGAGAAA